ensembl:lncRNA
UUGAUGUACUGUACAGGACAAUAUUUUUCAUAACACUUUUUAUCAUAGUGUCCACAGUUGUUUUGUACAUUGAUUGUUUAUUUUUUUGCAAUAAUGAUCAGUUUACUGUACAUCAUCCCUUAUGUAAAUGUACUGAAUUCUUGAAUUUUGUAUACAGUACUUGUCAUGUGGCUUACCUUACUACUGCAGGAUAAAAAGCUUGAAAGGGAGAGUGUAUGGAGUGUCAGGGGCCAGCAGGGGUGUGGGGAUGGAGGACACCAGGCAGGGGGGUGAUGUUGGUUCGUUCCGGGUGAGAUGACUUCACAAAGGCUGUCUGCCCUUUUAUUUUGCAGGAAUUCUGAAGAUCCAAUUGAAAAUGCACUGCUGUGUCUGUUUUCCUUCUGAUUGUUUUGGACUGCAGAUAGCCGAAUGGAAUGAAGGAGAGAGAGAAACAGUGGAAAAGAAGGAAGAGGUGUGUCGAGGGUCUGAGCAGCGAUGGGAGGCAGGUAGAGGAUAUGAAGCUGUGAAAAAAAGAUUCAGUGGAUGAAUGAUGAAGGAGACCUGUUGUUGAACACACAUUUAUCCUCAGGCAUAAAAGAAGAGCACCAAAAGAGUGAGAACAAAACCUAUUACCAUCUCUACUGGAGGUGGAAGGAAUAUGGAAUCGUGCUGAAAUACCUCAGGAGGAUAAGGCAGCCGGAGGGAAGGAGAAGUCUGAUGGAGACAGAGGGAUGAAAGGAUGAGUGAAAUCCCGUUGCGGAGGCAGGUCGACAACUGACCAAGGCGGAGCUGAUGGGACAAGGGAGCCCAGUGGAGAAAGGGAGAAAGGAACCAAGGCAGAGCUGACACGUUGGAGGUCCAUGAUGGAGUCUGGGACUCAGAGGCUUAUGGUUACACCAAAAAAAUAACUACUGUCUGGGUCUGAUCUUCUGUUGCACGAUUGUGCUGGAUAUAAAGCACACAACACAGGGAAGUACAAAACAGUCUUUAAAUAAUAAUAAAUCCAGAGGGAACAAACUCA